rnacentral:rRNA from 1 species
GACGAACCGUGCGAACGUUGUUCGGAAUCACUGGGCAUAAAGGGCGCGUAGGCGGCUUUUCAAGUCAGGGGUGAAAUCCGGCAGCUCAACUGUCGAAGUGCCCUUGAUACUGAUGAGCUCGAGGGAGGUAGGGGUGUGUGGAACUUCCGGUGGAGCGGUGAAAUGCGUUGAUAUCGGAAGGAACGCCGGUGGCGAAAGCGACGCACUGGACCUCUUCUGACGCUGAGGCGCGAAAGCUAGGGGGAGCAAACGGG